AAGAAAAAUUUGUUCAGCAUAUGAGUGGUAGAUACGACCAAAGCUACAUCUCUCAGCAAGUCAGUGCUCCAGCUUAAGCAACAAGAAAAAAAAAAGCUCUAUAUAGAACUGUGACAAACAUAGUUACUGCAUGGAACUAAGAAAAUGAUGUUUGUAGCGUGUAGAAGCUAGAAAAGAAAGAUGAAAUCAAUUUAAACUUUUUCAAAACCAAUAGCUAGACUGAGACUGUUCAGUCCUGAAUAUAUAUGUGUACAUAUGUGUAUGUACACAUAUAUACAAACAUUGGGUUCUCAUUUUGUUUUGGAAAGGUGAAGCUGGUCACCCCCAGAGUUAAUGGGAAAAUAUGUGGGAUUAGAAAUUGUGCCCCAGUAUUCUGGGACUCCUGCCCAAGCCACAGUGAUGGCUUUUCCCCUCUUAUGAUUGCUGCUGUACUGAAAUUUACCAUCAGUCAGCCAUAGAACAGAGCAACUCCCAAGGUUCCAGCUACUACAGUGACUCAUUUGGUGUGUCAUCAUUCCCUGGAGAAUGGAGGUACCACAUCAAAUCAUGGCCCAUCCUAAAGUCUAGUGCCACUGAAAUUUACAGCCACAGAACUGAAUUAAUCAAGAGGAACAACAACAACAAGAGUUCUCUUCCAAAAUGAUAGCUUUUUUGUAGCUCUGAAAUGAGAGGAACCCAAUCCAGAAGAAUCCACAGAAGGAGGAAAAGCCAGCAGAAAGGCAGCAGAUUAGACACAAAAUUGUAAUUGUUAGUACGCAACUGAUAAAUACAAAAGGGCGAAGAGAAUGUCAAUCCAGAAUGAUGCAAAUCCCUUCAUUAUUACUCUCGUUAAAGGACUGCUAAUGAUCAGCAAAUAGCCAAAGGCAGAGGAGUCAAUCCAAGAUCUCUUCGGUUCUUUCCUAAUCAGAACACAGAUUUACAAAGAUGACACAACUGUCCGGAGGUCACACUGAAAUUAUAGACAGAGCUGGAGUUCUGAUUUCUGAAAGUCCUAUUCUCAGUCACUAUGCUAAAUGAGCCUCUAAGGGACAUACCAGGGAUACAACAGCCCUUUUAAUCCGGAAGAACGAGGGGCUGAAGGAAAUAAAAAGUAAGCCUGAACCAGACCAGAGAAUUAAAAUGGUAUGCGUUUAAGUUUGGUU
rnacentral:lncRNA from 1 species